GGAAAGGAGAGACGAGACAGCUUUUUAGUACAACACAGGAACAGAAGGACUGACAAACCCAGAAAUAUGUGUAGAUGAAUAAUUGAAGCCGCUGAAUUGCGACAUGACUAUUGUUGCACUCCUGGUUUUGCAUUGAUAAUGCGACUUCUGGCAGAGGAGAGUUCAGGAUUUCCCAUCCCAGGAGAUGAGGAAAAGCCUUGACUGACCCUGCUUGGAGACCUGGAGAUAUUCCUUCAUUCCUGUUUAACAUCUCUUCUCUAAACAAGCUGAAGAGGUAUGGACACGGUGAAAUAAAAGACAAUUGAACCUAUAGAUGUGAGGACCAAUCAGGCAUCUCAGAAAAACAGCAACGCAGUACCACUGUGGUGACAGUGUGUGCAAUUCCCCCACGAAGACGGCAGGAAUCUCGAAGUUGCCAUGAAAAAUUGAUGACGACAGGCAUGUUUGGGAAGCACACACAACUGUCACAUCUCCAGCGCACUGGAAAUACAACAACAAGGACUGACUUCCCCCAACGUCGCAGAACAAAUCUGCAUCAGAGGUAGCCAAGACCCAUAAUUUCUCAAAGUAUAGAGAGAAACCCCUGGUCAUGCAAGGUACAUGUUGAACUGUGAUUAGGAACUGGAGUUGCUUCAGUUUACAGGAGGGAGCAGGACUGCUUCUGGCAGAGAAGGACCACUAAAGGAUCCCCAAACAGGGAGAGCACUGGCCCAGACGGACAGCAGGCUGCGGGGCUACCGGGAGGGGGCAGGAUGGGGGCUGGGCCAGGUGCAGGAGAUAUGGACCCGAAACCAGAGUAGAGAACCAGACAGGGAACGUCUACUGGCCCCGUGGUACAAUGUGUGGCGUCAAACCCUGUGGGGGUGGGGAACAGU
rnacentral:lncRNA from 1 species